rnacentral:lncRNA from 1 species
UUAUUUACUAAUAUUUUAUUUAAAAAAUGAUAACAAAAUAUUUUAGAAAGUUCUCAAGAUCCAAAAAAGUGUAAUACAUUGAAAAAGACCACAGGUUUAGAAUGGAAAAAUACUUACACGUUUUGAAAUUAUUUCUAUGGAAAUUCAAGGCAACACUGGCAAUAAAACUGUAUAAAAUUUUUAUUUUAUAUAUAUAAACCCACUGUAUUAUCAUCCUGAUUUCAUCAUUAUUAAAAAAGUCACUUAAAUUCUCAAAGAUAAUAAAAGUGAUAGUUCUGAACAGCAUAAAAUUUAAUAUCUAGAGAACUGCUUACGUUUACAGCAAUAGAUUAAAACAAAGAUGAAUUUCCAUCUUAAAGGCACUACCAGCAUCUUGAUUCAUUACAAUUUGAUAUAAUCUCUCAAAAAUUUUACAACAUCCUUCCCUUCAGCUUAGAAAGCUUGGCAUUUUUAUUGCACAAGUUUGAGUGAGGAUCACCAUGGUGGCUAUUAUGCAAAAACAUCUUGUGCACAGCUCUGAGAACUGUGUGAGAGAGCUCACGGCUUUUUCAAGUUGGUGGCUACAAAGGUAGAACUCAAUUGUAACAGACCACGACCCUUCCCUGUUAUUUGUAGGCAUGGAGUGCUAGCAGUAAGGCACAAUUCCUUCACGUGUUCAGAACCCAAAGGACGCUGGUAGCGUCGUGAUUUUCAUGUGGGCUACAUGCCACCCACAAAAAUUAACAUUCACAAUCUACACAAUGCCUGUGCAGAUUUUCGGAGCAGAAACUCACAGUCUGGCCACUUAACAAGUCCUCACAUGUCCUGGAGAAACUUCUCCACCGGUUCUCGAUGCACUCAAAACAAAGCCUGAAAGCGGCUGCAGAGCCUUCAAAUAUUUUUGUAUGGGCUCAGCUGGAAAAGAAGAAAGCUCUUAAUGUGUCUGAGCAAGCUCACACCACCACUGCCAGGCACUGUGUUGUAGAAGAAGACAAUCCCCAGACAGAUGUACUGCGCCAGUUGCUUCUUUCCACAGGUUUUACUACCAGUUAAGAUUGUACAGAGAUGUUUACUUUGCAAAUACAAGAAGAAAAUUAAACAGUUGCUUGUAACAGCACUUCUGCCAGAGCUCCC